AUUGAACGCUGGCGGCAGGCCUAACACAUGCAAGUCGAGCGAGAAAGGUCUUCGGACUGAGUACAGCGGCGGACGGGUGAGUAAUGCGCAGGAAUCUACCUGGUAGUGGGGGAUAACUCGGGGAAACUCGAACUAAUACCGCAUACGCCCUACGGGGAAAGACGGGGGACCGUUCGGGCCGUCGCGCUAUCAGAUGAGCCUGCGUAGGAUUAGCUUGUUGGUGAGGUAAAGGCUCACCAAGGCGACGAUCCUUAGCUGGUCUGAGAGGAUGAUCAGCCACACUGGAACUGAGACACGGUCCAGACUCCUACGGGAGGCAGCAGUGGGGAAUAUUGCGCAAUGGGCGAAGCCUGACGCAGCCAUGCCGCGUGUGUGAAGAAGGCCCUUGGGUUGUAAAGCACUUUC
rnacentral:rRNA from 1 species